rnacentral:rRNA from 1 species
UACGAAGGGUGCAAGCGUUACUCGGAAUUACUGGGCGUAAAGCGUGCGUAGGUGGUUUGUUAAGUCAGAUGUGAAAGCCCUGGGCUCAACCUGGGAACUGCAUUUGAUACUGGCAGGCUAGAGUGCGGUAGAGGAUAGCGGAAUUCCUGGUGUAGCAGUGAAAUGCGUAGAGAUCAGGAGGAACAUCCGUGGCGAAGGCGGCUAUCUGGGCCAGCACUGACACUGAGGCACGAAAGCGUGGGGAGCAAACAGG